GUCUGGUUGGCCUAGUUGGUUAGGGCGUAGGUCUCAUAACAUGACCGCGCGGUUGCGCGGGUUUCGAGAGUCGAACACCAUCCUAAGAUCGCGAGUUCGAUUCUCGCACCGGACA
rnacentral:tRNA from 2 species